CCUAGCAACCCGGUCGUCGGCAAACUAAGCACCUCACUCCUGAUGUGACCGGGCUGCCCUCCGUGCUCAGGCUGAGGUCACCGCUCCCCGCCAGGGACCGACUCCGCCCUUGUCCCGGAUACACUGAGAGCAGAACCACAAGAAGCGGAGGUCCCAAGAUCCACCGGCUGACUGCCUUGGGACAAACUAAUAAAUGGCAGAGCCAGGCCUCAAGCCCAGGUCUGACUCAAACUCAAACUCAAACUCAAAGCCGCACCCGCCGUCAACACUGGACGUGACAUCGAGGGCUGCACAGGACGCACAUGCAAGUCCCGUCAUUAAGGGGGAAGCUUCUCGGGCUUAAAGUGAACACCGCAGGCAACCCCCGCCCCCCCCCCCCAGUGCAAUUCAUCCGGAUGCUGGUUUGAUAUUCACACUGUACCUCUCUUCCUUUCCGUCCUACCGCGUAAAAGGCCCUUUUCCCUAACACACGGGAGCGCACAGACACAUGCGACACGACAUCCAAGCCUGACGUGCGUUCACACCUGGGUACGGGAAAGAUCCCGAUCUCUUAUGUCCUCGGGACAAUAGCAUGAGAACAGAUCCUGUGACUAACACCGGAACCAAAAGGCAGGGGGGGAGUUCUAAAGAUAGAUUCAAGACGGUGACCGAAGCAUCAGCAAACAGGUGUCCGGCAGGAAGGUCAAGUGAAAGGCUCUUACUAAAAGUAACCCACAGGGACGCCUGGGUGGCUCAGUCGGUUGAGCGUCCGACUUCGGCUCAGGUCAUGAUCUCACGGUUCGUGAGUUCGAGCCCCGCGUCGGGCUCUGUGCUGACCGCUCAGAGCCUGGAUCCGGUUUCGGAUUCUGUGUCUCCCUCUCUCUCUGCCCCUCCCCUGCUCUCAAAAAGAAAUAAACUUAAAACAAAUUAAGAAAAAAGUAACCCGUGUCUCAAAGUUAGAAAACGCGUCAGUCACUCUGCCCAACUGACUCAGGUGUUCCCGUGUCUUCCUGUGGGUCACUUAGCGUCCAGGGUGGCAUCGUGUCCACACACCACAUCUAGAGCUUGUCCUGGCUGAUGGCCGCGGACAGUGCUUACCCCCCCACCCCCCAGGCCUGCGGCAAACCCAGAUGCUGACGUCAUGUAAGCCACGAGGCGGGAACCGUCUGGGCCCAUCUGACAGACUCACCUACAAAACCCAAGUGACAGAAACGGGUCUCUUCCGACAGCACUGACAGACAAAGGCCUUCGUAAAGAUAAAUUACGGACAAGUAUUUCCAGGGGCAGGUUUCCCUCAGAGUCAAGUGCAAGGGAAGGAAGCCAAGACGGCGGUCAGGUUCAGUGCCUCGCUUUGGCACAGCGGCAGGGGAGAGGGUCAGGUUUUGUUUUUAAGUUAGUGUGGUAUUUUCAAAACGUGAACACCUCGUAAAAAACCAAAUCACACGCCGAGGCUGGUACGCUCUGCGGAAGGGGCUGGUCUCCUCCACUUGUGAAUCCAUUCUUCCAGCUCUAAUGAAAUAGAAUGGGGCGCUGGGGUUUAUAAGCAACAUGUAUUUGGUUGUCACACGGUUCCUAAAAAUACCCUUGUUAAUUUGCUUUCCAGGAGCUACAGGGACAUCAUUUUGUUUUCACAUUUCGUGUUGUUCCCAGUUCCUGAAAUAGCUCCAGAUAGCAAAGGUUGAAAUGGGCGUUUUUCGGAUUCGAACGAACCAGUUUGUGCUAAAGGCUGAGCGGUGGCUGGGGCUCCUGGGUGGCCUGGAGGGGGCUGGUUGCGGGAGGAACCACUCAGCGAUCCCAGGGUUGGCACUUUCAGCCCCGCCCACACUGGGGAGGAGGUGGGGCUAAAGGGUGGAAUCAAUUCACCCAUCAGUGGUCCACAGUUUAAUCAGUCGGUACCAUGUGAGGAAACCUUCAUACACCCUGAACUAUGGGAUACGAACUACAGAAUUCGGAGAGCUCCCGGGCUGGUGAACACACUGAGGCGGGGAGGCCGGUGCACCCGGGGAGGACACGGCCGCCCCCACCCCUUCCCCGCACACCUUGCCUUCUGCCUCGCUUUAGGGGGCUGACCUGGUGGCAGCCCCCAUGAUGAAUCGGUAACGUACAGCGAAACUGUUUUCCUGAGUUCCGUGAGCCACUCCGGGAAAUUAAUCAAGCCCUCGGAGGGGUCUGAGAGGUGGUGGGAACCUCCAACUUACAGCAGGCCCUGCACUCAGACCAGGCAGCUGACCGGGGCUGGAGAAAACGGUCAAGGGCACCGAGCGCUCGCGCUUGAAGCUCCCCUCCGCCGCCCUUGGAGGCUCCACGCUCUUCUCUGCGGAGCUGACCUUCCACCCUCCCCUGUACCGCUCGCCCAUCAUCAACACCAGGCAGGGCAGAGGCUCUGCGGUCCAAGCCCCCGCGCCCGCAGCGCCUCCAACUGGGGGCCUGGGACCUUGUGCUGAGAGAAGUUCACUACAAAUUUCUUCCCUUGUUUUCUUGAAACAUUAAACACCCGUUUUUACUUUCACAGAAAUACAUAACGUGAACCUGACAUACGGGCCCCUUCCAGUUCGGGACACUAUCUCCCUUUCUCUCCGGCUCCCUUCCACACCUCACGGCCUGUGGCGGCAACAUCCGUGUGGACAAGCUGAUGCGCAGCCCUCCACAUUUCUGGGCUCGCCCACGCUCACGGAGGCAGCCCGACACACAGACGUACGUCCAUGCUGGGGUGGGGGCUGAGGCCACUGCCCAUUUAACAAGGAUUCUGGGAUGCGCUUUCCUCCCUCAGCGUCCCCGGCCCCACGGCAGAGCUCCUGGGCCACGUUUCAGUGGCCACCCACCACCCCGUGGUACGAACGAGUGGUACUUCACGUAUCCACUGCCCUCCUGACGCUGCUCCCACUUUUUGUCACUGCCGAUGGGCCACACCACCUCUCUAAACCUUUGUUUCCGCAUGCCUAAGGUGGAGCUAAUGACGACACUGACCUCAGGAGGGUGCUGGGGGAACGAAGCAUGGGAACACCCCCACUCAAAAGGCGCACAAACUGAGGCUCAAAGAGUUGCAGAGUUCCUCAAUGUCAUCCAGCUCCAAGUGGUGAGGCCUGGGUGCGAGCUGGGCCCGGGGGGGGGGGGGGGUGGAGGUAAGCCACAGAGAUCUCCUGUUCCCACCUUACAAGGUGCCCAGCAUGUGGCAAAUGCUUCAUGAAUAAUUAUCAAACAAAAGGCCUAGACAAACACCUAGUUUAAUACCCGUUUUUUCGCUACCACGUGAUCUAUCCCGGAACACCGUUAGUAAAAGAAAUGCUCGGCCCAAACAAGGCAAGUCCACACACAACCAGAAAAUCCAGGCUGGGCCUUGCCACCCCUCCGUCUGACACACGCGAGGACGGCUGCCCGGUCUGCACGCCA